rnacentral:rRNA from 1 species
GCAGCCUGAUCCAGCCAUGCCGCGUGAGUGAUGAAGGCCUUCGGGUUGUAAAGCUCUUUCGCCGGGACGAAAGUGACUGGACUAAUACAAUAAGGUCCUGACAAUUCCGUGCCAACAACCACGGGCAUACUAUAUGCCAGCAGCCGCGGUAAUUA